rnacentral:rRNA from 1 species
UGAUGGUAGCCAAGAAGGAAGCCCCGGCUAACUACGUGCCAGCAGCCGCGGUAAUACGUAGGGGGCAAGCGUUGUCCGGAAUGAUUGGGCGUAAAGGGCGCGUAGGCGGCUUUCUAAGUCUGAAGUGAAAGUCCUGCUUUUAAGGUGGGAACUGCUUUGGAUACUGGAGAGCUUGAGUGCAGGAGAGGUAAGCGGAAUUCCCGGUGUAGCGGUGAAAUGCGUAGAGAUCGGGAGGAACACCAGUGGCGAAGGCGGCUUACUGGACUGUAACUGACGCUGAGGCGCGAAAGUGUGGGGAGCAAACAGGAUUAGAUACCCUG